AAAGAAAACAGUUCAGCACUAAGUCACUUUGUCUAUAUGGCAAAUGUGAGAUGCAGUGUAUGGAGCGUCAAUAUUCUAGUAUGAGAAAUUAACGAUUUAAGUCCUUCUUAAAUGAGGCCAUUUACCCAUAGAGGGUGCCAGGCCCGUAUAACGUUAAUGAUUACUAGAUGAUGUUUCCAAAGAGUCGUGUUGCUUGAUAGUGCAGCACUAAGUGGGUGGUAAACUCCAUCUAAAACUAAAUAUAACCAUGAGACCGAUAGUAAACAAGUACCGUGAGGGAAAGUUGAAAAGAACUCUGAAUAGAGAGUUAAACAGUACGUGAAACUGCUUAGAGGUUAAGCCCGAUGAACCUGAAUAUCCGUUAUGGAAAAUUCAUCAUUAAAAUUGUAAUAUUUAAAUAAUAUUAUGAGAAUAGUGUGCAUUUUUUCCAUAUAAGGACAUUGUAAUCUAUUAGCAUAUACCAAAUUUAUCAUAAAAUAUAACUUAUAGUUUAUUCCAAUUAAAUUGCUUGCAUUUUAACACAGAAUAAAUGUUAUUAAUUUGAUAAAGUGCUGAUAGAUUUAUAUGAUUACAGUGCGUUAAUUUUUCGGAAUUAUAUAAUGGCAUAAUUAUCAUUGAUUUUUGUGUUUAUUAUAUGCACUUGUAUGAUUAA
rnacentral:rRNA from 1 species